UGAAACACGGCUGGGGUUAAGGGCAGUCGGUGGAAAGGGGAGGCGAUGAAUGCAGCUAGUGUGCUUCUGCUGCCGGCUAUCAGGAAGGCAUGAAAGCAGAGAAGGGGACAGUCGUCCUCUCUGCAGCCGGAGCCAUGGAGGAGGAUCCACUGUAGCGUUAAAUAAUAAUGCUGCAUAUUGUAGAACAACAGAAACAAGCAGUUUUUGAAGGUGACACCUGUAGAAUCGUCUCUGUGCAUCCCUGAGCUGCACAGUUCGGCAUGAAAUACGCGUACAUGGAGGAGAAGCCGUCCCACUGCACUCCUGUCAGUCUGUCAGUCUGGAAGGCCUCCUGUCUGUCUGUCUGUCCUAAUGCAAUCAGUCAAUUCAAAGACACAGGGAGAAGCAGAGCUGAGCCGGGCUGCCAGAAGAGGGGCGGAGAGAAGCAGCAGCUUUUACCGUCAGGCCCACCGAGGCAGCCAGCCAACUAGUUCGCUCCGUAUCGCUCCUCCUCCUGAAGCAGGAAGUACUGAAGGGCUGGUCAGCAAAGCCAAACGGAGAGUGGGAGGAUGAUGAUGGUGAGAAGGAGGAGAAAGAGACGAGGAGAGGAUAAACUUCUCAUCGCCAUGGAGAUAAAGCUGCAUGCAAACAGCAUUAGAGGAGCUGGAUGAUGCUCAAACACGGCUCAUGGCGACGCUUCCUCCUCAGACAAUAAAAAGUGCAAAGUGCCUUAAACAUC